UGCAAGUCGAACGGUAAGGCCCCUUCGGGGGUACACGAGUGGCGCACGGGUGAGUAACGCGUAUGCAACCUGCCCUGUACAGGGGGAUAGCCCGGAGAAAUCCGGAUUAAUACCCCAUAGUUUUUAUGAGUCGCAUGGCUUAUAAAAUAAAGUUUCGGCGGUACAGGAUGGGCAUGCGUGGCAUUAGCUAGUUGGUAAGGUAACGGCUUACCAAGGCGACGAUGCCUAGGGGUUCUGAGAGGAUGAUCCCCCACACUGGGACUGAGACACGGCCCAGACUCCUACGGGAGGCAGCAGUGAGGAAUAUUGGUCAAUGGGCGAGAGCCUGAACCAGCCAUCCCGCGUGCAGGAUGACGGCCCUACGGGUUGUAAACUGCUUUUAUGUACCAAGAAUAGGCGCUACGUGUAGUGUUAUGACGGUAGUACAUGAAUAAGCAUCGGCUAACUCCGUGCCAGCAGCCGCGGUAAUACGGAGGAUGCAAGCGUUAUCCGGAUUCAUUGGGUUUAAAGGGUGCGUAGGCGGUCUGAUAAGUCAGUGGUGAAAUGCUGCAGCUCAACUGUAGAACUGCCAUUGAAACUGUCAGACUUGAGUGCGCCUGAGGUAGGCGGAAUGAGUAGUGUAGCGGUGAAAUGCUUAGAUAUUACUCAGAACACCGAUUGCGAAGGCAGCUUACUAAAGCGUAACUGACGCUGAUGCACGAAAGCGUGGGGAGCGAACAGGAUUAGAUACCCUGGUAGUCCACGCCGUAAACGAUGAUAACUCGCUGUUGGCGAUACACAGUCAGCGGCUUAGCGAAAGCAUUAAGUUAUCCACCUGGGGAGUACGAUCGCAAGGUUGAAACUCAAAGGAAUUGACGGGGGCCCGCACAAGCGGAGGAACAUGUGGUUUAAUUCGAUGAUACGCGAGGAACCUUACCUGGGCUUAAAUGUGGAUUGACCGUUGCUGAAAAGUGACUUCCCUUCGGGGCAAUUUACAAGGUGCUGCAUGGUUGUCGUCAGCUCGUGCCGUGAGGUGUCGGGUUAAGUCCCAUAACGAGCGCAACCCUUAUCGUCAGUUGCUAACAGGUAAAGCUGAGGACUCUGGCGAGACUGCCACCGUAAGGUGAGAGGAAGGUGGGGAUGACGUCAAAUCAGCACGGCCCUUAUGUCCAGGGCUACACACGUGUUACAAUGGUCGGUACAAAGGGCAGCUACUUGGCAACAAGAUGCUAACCCCAAAAGCCGGUCUCAGUUCGGAUUGGAGUCUGCAACCCGACUCCAUGAAGCUGGAUUCGCUAGUAAUCGCGCAUCAGCCAUGGCGCGGUGAAUACGUUCCCGGGCCUUGUACACACCGCCCGUCAAACCAUGGAAGCUUGGGGGACCUGAAGUCUGCAACCGCAAGGAG
rnacentral:rRNA from 1 species